rnacentral:rRNA from 1 species
GACGAACGCUGGCGGCGUGCUUAACACAUGCAAGUCGAACGGUGACCUCGGAGCUUGCUCCGGGUGAUCAGUGGCGAACGGGUGAGUAACACGUGAGUAACCUGCCCCUUUCUCUGGGAUAACUCCGGGAAACCGGUGCUAAUACUGGAUACGACCCGAGCGGGCAUCCGCAUCGGGUGGAAAGUUUUUCGGUAAGGGAUGGACUCGCGGCCUAUCAGCUUGUUGGUGGGGUAAUGGCCCACCAAGGCGACGACGGGUAGCCGGCCUGAGAGGGCGACCGGCCACACUGGGACUGAGACACGGCCCAGACUCCUACGGGAGGCAGCAGUGGGGAAUAUUGCACAAUGGGCGAAAGCCUGAUGCAGCGACGCCGCGUGAGGGAUGACGGCCUUCGGGUUGUAAACCUCUUUCAGCAGGGAAGAAGCUUUUGUGACGGUACCUGCAGAAGAAGCACCGGCUAACUACGUGCCAGCCGCCGCGGUAAGAC